CUGGGGGAGCAAGUGUGCAUGUUUUCAGUUGUCCUAUGAAGAUGUUCCAUAGGAGAGAACGGAGGGAAUGAUUGGCCAACAGACAGGCAGGAACUCAGACUUUCAGUCCAAACAAACCCCGUCAACAUGCAUGUGCAAUGUCUUAGAGCAGUGUCAUCAGAGAGCGACGGGAAAAGCACAGUCUGCCAGUUCCUGCCCUCUGGCCCUGCCUGUCCCCAUCUACCCUCCUCUCUCUUCUCAGGCUCCUUCCAGCUACACUGCCCUCUUUCGGACAUUGUCUGGUCAGACCCACUUCUUCCUGAGAGCCUCUGCGCCAGCGGUGCCUUCUCCCUGACACUCAAACUGUUCCCAGACACAGGCAGGCGUGCCUCUCAUCUGGCACCCUGCUGACAGCAAAUGUCACCCCUAUGAUGCCUUUCAGAGCCUCCCAGGCACAGGCUCCACUGUCACAGGUCUCCCACCUGCAAGGGCAUCUCAUGAUGUCCUCCUUCUUGGUCUCAUCUGGAUAAAGUGAGUCCAUGAAGGAGGGCUUUCUGCUUGGCGGACGAGGAGGCAGCUUCUUCUGGUUUCCUCAGGGUCAUGACUGUCUCUUCUGGGCUGAAUGUUUCCCCUCCCAAGUCCAUUGUGAAAGGAAAUUCUCAUUCCCUUGCUUUCAAGGGUCUGGUUUCCCCAAGAACACAGGGAGACUGGCCUCUCCCUGGAAUGCGGCACCAGCCCCUACACCCAAAGCCAGAAAAUUAGCACCCAGCUUGAAACACCCCCAGAUCCUGAAGUCAAUUCCUGCUGAGGUCCCCCAUCCAUUUUGUAACCCCAUAGUAUCUCCUGAUCUCACCUUUCCCCUAAGACACAGCUCCCAGCCUGCCCUUGGCUUCUUACAGGAACAGUGGGAUUUCCCAGAAGCACUCUCAGCCUGGGCAAGAAAUGUUUUGAAACGUUCUCUAUGUAUUUUCCAGGACAUGGGAUAUGGGGAGAAGUCAUUUUGGUUGUGUAUGUGCAACAGUUUUGAUGCGAAUAGCAUCUUUUUCAGACAGAGAUCAAAGAGUGGGGCUACCGGGUGUAACAAGAAAAUGGAUACACUGAGCCAACGUCUUCAUGGUGUGAAGUCAUAGGGAGCAAAGAACAUGGUUAAGAGCAGAGAAUAUGGAGCCACAACUUAUGUUCAAAUUCCACCUCAAUCACUUCCUAGAUAUUGGUAG
rnacentral:lncRNA from 1 species